rnacentral:rRNA from 1 species
CAGUAGCCGCGGGAAAACGUAGGGUGCAAGCGUUAAUCGGAAUUACUGGGCGUAAAGCGUGCGCAGGCGGUUAUAUAAGACAGAUGUGAAAUCCCCGGGCUCAACCUGGGAACUGCAUUUGUGACUGUAUAGCUAGAGUACGGCAGAGGGGGAUGGAAUUCCGCGUGUAGCAGUGAAAUGCGUAGAUAUGCGGAGGAACACCGAUGGCGAAGGCAAUCCCCUGGGCCUGUACUGACGCUCAUGCACGAAAGCGUGGGGAGCAAACAGGAUUAGAUACCCCCGUAGUCCCUGUCUCUUAACA